ensembl:snRNA U2 U2 spliceosomal RNA
AUCGUUUCUCGGCCUUUUGGCUAAGAUCAAGUGUAGUAUCUGUUCUUAUCAGUUUAAUAUAUGAUACAUCCUCUAUCUGAGGACAAUAUAUUAAAUGGAUUUUUGGAGCUCAGAGUUAGAAUAGGAGGUUACUCUGUCCACUCCACACACCGACCUGGUAUUGCAGUACCUCUAGGAAUGGUGCACACCCU